UGAGUUAAUGCUGGAAUGAGUUAAGACUUUGGGGGACCAUUGGGAAGGCAUGAUUGUGUUUUAAAAUGUGAGAAGGACAUGAGAUUUGGGAAGGGGCAGUGGUAGAACGAUUUGGUUUGGCUUUGUGUCCCCACCCAAAUCUCACGUUGAGUUGUAAUCCCUAGUGUUGGAGGUGGGGCGUGGUGGGAAGUGAUUGGAUCAUGGGGUGGUUUCUAGUGGUUUAGCAUCAUUCCCCUAGUGCUGUCUUAUGAUAGAAUUCUCACAAGAUCUGGUUGCUUAAAAGUGUAUGACACUUUCCCCUUCUCUCUCUCUUUCUCUCUUUCUCUCUCUCCUGCCACCAUGUGAAGACAUGCUUGCUUCCCCUUUGUCCUUCUGCCAUGAUUGUGAGUUUCCUGAGGCCUCCCCAACCAUGCAUCCUGCACAGCUUGUGGAACUAGACUCAACUGUGUGGGUUAAGACUUGGCCAUGGCACACCAAGGAUACCCCGUCUCUGCUCUGUAAUGUCUGAGGAUUCAGCUGGAAGACUUGAGAACUGGAGGAUGGGAUCAACUGAAGGCUC
rnacentral:lncRNA from 1 species